rnacentral:rRNA from 1 species
GAUGAACGCUGGCGGCGUGCUUAACACAUGCAAGUCGAACGGAAAGGCCACAGCUUGCUGUGGUACUCGAGUGGCGAACGGGUGAGUAACACGUGGGUGAUCUGCCCUGUACUUCGGGAUAAGCUUGGGAAACUGGGUCUAAUACCGGAUAGGAAUCACAUGUGGGUGUGUGGUUGGAAAGCUUUUGCGGUAUGGGAUGAGCUCGCGGCCUAUCAGCUUGUUGGUGGGGUAAUGGCCUACCAAGGCGUCGACGGGUAGCCGGCCUGAGAGGGUGUACGGCCACAUUGGGACUGAGAUACGGCCCAGACUCCUACGGGAGGCAGCAGUGGGGAAUAUUGCACAAUGGGCGCAAGCCUGAUGCAGCGACGCCGCGUGGGGGAUGACGGCCUUCGGGUUGUAAACUCCUUUCGUCAGGGACGAAGCGAAAGUGACGGUACCUGGAUAAGAAGCACCGGCUAACUACGUGCCAGCAGCCGCGGUAAUACGUAGGGUGCGAGCGUUGUCCGGAAUUACUGGGCGUAAAGAGCUCGUAGGUGGUUUGUCGCGUCGUUUGUGUAAGUCCACGGCUUAACUGUGGGAUGGCAGGCGAUACGGGCAUAACUUGAGUGCUGUAGGGGAGACUGGAAUUCCUGGUGUAGCGGUGAAAUGCGCAGAUAUCAGGAGGAACACCGAUGGCGAAGGCAGGUCUCUGGGCAGUAACUGACGCUGAGGAGCGAAAGCAUGGGUAGCGAACAGGAUUAGAUACCCUGGUAGUCCAUGCCGUAAACGGUGGGCGCUAGGUGUGAGUCCCUUCCACGGGGUUCGUGCCGUAGCUAACGCAUUAAGCGCCCCGCCUGGGGAGUACGGCCGCAAGGCUAAAACUCAAAGGAAUUGACGGGGGCCCGCACAAGCGGCGGAGCAUGUGGAUUA